rnacentral:rRNA from 1 species
GAUUUGAUCUAUUUCUAGUGGCGGACGGGUGAGUAACGCGUGGGUAACCUGCCUUAUACAGGGGGAUAACAGUCAGAAAUGGCUGCUAAUACCGCAUAAGCGCACAGAGCUGCAUGGCUCAGUGUGAAAAACUCCGGUGGUAUAAGAUGGACCCGCGUUGGAUUAGCUGGUUGGUGGGGUAACGGCCCACCAAGGCAACGAUCCAUAGCCGGCCUGAGAGGGUGAACGGCCACAUUGGGACUGAGACACGGCCCAGACUCCUACGGGAGGCAGCAGUGGGGAAUAUUGCACAAUGGGGGAAACCCUGAUGCAGCGACGCCGCGUGAAGGAAGAAGUAUCUCGGUAUGUAAACUUCUAUCAGCAGGGAAGAUAGUGACGGUACCUGACUAAGAAGCCCCGGCUAACUACGUGCCAGCAGCCGCGGUAAUACGUAGGGGGCAAGCGUUAUCCGGAUUUACUGGGUGUAAAGGGAGCGUAGACGGUGUGGCAAGUCUGAUGUGAAAGGCAUGGGCUCAACCUGUGGACUGCAUUGGAAACUGUCUGGCUCGAGUGCCGGAGAGGUAAGCGGAAUUCCUAGUGUAGCGGUGAAAUGCGUAGAUAUUAGGAAGAACACCAGUGGCGAAGG